rnacentral:miRNA from 1 species
CUCUAGCCAGGACCUGACUAC